rnacentral:rRNA from 1 species
AGCGAACGCUGGCGGCAGGCCUAACACAUGCAAGUCGAACGAACUCUUCGGAGUUAGUGGCGGACGGGUGAGUAACACGUGGGAACGUGCCUUUUGGUUCGGAAUAACUCAGGGAAACUUGUGCUAAUACCGAAUGUGCCCUUCGGGGGAAAGAUUUAUCGCCAUUAGAGCGGCCCGCGUCUGAUUAGCUAGUUGGUGAGGUAACGGCUCACCAAGGCGACGAUCAGUAGCUGGUCUGAGAGGAUGACCAGCCACACUGGGACUGAGACACGGCCCAGACCCCGGCGGGAGGAGGCAGGGGGGAUUUUGGGGAAAGGGGCAAAACCUGGACGCGCCCAGGCCGGGGAAAUAUGAAAGUUUUUAGGAUGAAAAAUUUUUUUCCCCGGGGACGAAAAGGACGGACCCGGGAGAAGAACCCCCGCUUAACUCGGG